rnacentral:rRNA from 1 species
UACGUAGGGUGCAAGCGUUACUCGGAAUUACUGGGCGUAAAGCGUGCGCAGGCGGUUGUGCAAGACCGAUGUGAAAUCCCCGGGCUUAACCUGGGAAUGGCAUUGGUGACUGCACGGCUAGAGUGUGUCAGAGGGGGGUAGAAUUCCACGUGUAGCAGUGAAAUGCGUAGAGAUGUGGAGGAAUACCGAUGGCGGAGGCAGCCCCCUGGGAUAACACUGACGCUCAUGCACGAAAGCGUGGGGAGCAAACAGG